UGCAAGUCGAACGCAGUAGCAAUACUGAGUGGCAAACGGGUGAGUAUAAUGUGGGAAUCUGCCUUUUGGUUUGGAAUAACACGGGGAAACUUGUGCUAAUACCGAAUAAGCCCUUACGGGGAAAGUUUUAACGCCGAAAGAUGAGCCCGCACUUGAUUAGCUAGUUGGUAAGGUAAAAGCUUACCAAGGCAACGAUCAAUAGCUGUUCUUAGAGGAAGACCAGCCACAUUGGGACUGAGACACGGCCCAGACUCCUACGGGAGGCAGCAGUGGGGAAUCUUGCACAAUGGGGGAAACCCUGAUGCAGCGAUGCCGCGUGAGUGAAGAAGGCCUUUGGGUUGUAAAACUCUUUCGUCGGGGAAGAAAAUGACUGUACCCGAAUAAGAAGGU
rnacentral:rRNA from 1 species